CAGCCGCCGCGGGAAUACGUAGGGUGCGAGCGUUAAUCGGAAUUACUGGGCGUAAAGCGUGCGCAGGCGGUCGUGUAAGACAGGUGUGAAAUCCCCGGGCUUAACCUGGGAACUGCGCUUGUGACUGCACAGCUAGAGUACGGCAGAGGGGGGUGGAAUUCCACGUGUAGCAGUGAAAUGCGUAGAGAUGUGGAGGAACACCGAUGGCGAAGGCAGCCCCCCGGGCCAAUACUGACGCUCAUGCACGAAAGCGUGGGGAGCAAACAGGAUUAGAUACCCCCGUAGUCCCUGUCUCUUAUAC
rnacentral:rRNA from 1 species